GCGUCAAUAGUAUAGUGGUAGUACGUCGGACUUCCAAUUCGACGGCCCGGGUUCAAUUCCCGGUUGACGCACCA
rnacentral:tRNA from 1 species